rnacentral:rRNA from 1 species
UUUGCACAUGGAGGAACUCUGAUGCAUUGAUGCGCGUGAGUGAAGAAGGCUUUGGGUUGUAAAGCUCUUUUGUAGGGGAAGAUAAUGACUGUACCCUAAGAAUAAGGUCCGGCUAACUUCGUGCCAGCAGCCGCGGUAAUACGAAGGGACCUAGCGUAGUUCGGAAUUACUGGGCGUAAAGCGCGCGUAGGCCGUUGAGUUAGUUAAUUGUGAAAUCCCAAAGCUUAACUUUGGAACUGCAAUUAAAACUGCUCGACUAGAGUUUGAUAGAGGAAAGCGGAAUACAUAGUGUAGAGGUGAAAUUCGUAGAUAUUAUGUAGAACACCAGUUGCGAAAGCGGCUUUCUGGGUCAACACUGACGCUGAGGCGCGAAAGUAUGGGUAGCAAAGAGGAUUAGAUACCCUCGUAGUCCAUACCAUAAACGAUGAUUGCUAGAUGUUGGAAAUUUAUUUUCAGUAUCGCAGCUAACGCAUUAAGCAAUCCGCCUGGGGAGUACGACCGCAAGGUUAAAACUCAAAUGAAUUGACGGGGACCCGCACAAGCGGUGGAGCAUGUGGUUUAAUUCGAAGAUACGCGCAGAAACCUUACCAAGCCUUGACAUGUCUGUUGCGAGUUUAGGAAACUAGACUUUUCGGCUCGGCCGGACAGAACACAGGUGCUGCAUGGCUGUCGUCAGCUCGUGUCGUGAGAUGU